CGUGUAGGCGGUCUCGCAAGUCGGAUGUGAAAGCCCUCGCUUAACCGAGGAAGUGCGUUCGAAACUACGGGACUUGAGUGCCGGAGAGGGUGGCGGAAUUCCCGGUGUAGAGGUGAAAUUCGUAGAUAUCGGGAGGAACACCAGUGGCGAAGGCGGCCACCUGGACGGUCACUGACGCUGAGACGCGAAAGCGUGGGGAGCAAACA
rnacentral:rRNA from 1 species